UCGACCACCUGAUCCCGUCACUACGGCGGUGUCGGAAUGUUCUGAUCGAGCUUCGAUACCACCACGGAGAACAGCUGUAGGACGAGAACUGCGGCCGGUACUGGUUUUUAUACCACAGAGAUGUUUGCCUUUUGGGGGGAUAAUUGGCAGCAAAUGGUUCUCCAGGGAGCUGCCUCUGAGGACCCUGCAGACCCCAACAACCCCCCCACCCCGCUCGCUGGGCGAUGGAUGUUACGCAACAUUAGGGGACGUCACCUCUGAGGAAUGCGAGAAAGGAGGGGGCACUUGCUGUGGCACCAGGGCGGUCGCAGUCGCAAAGACUCAUCAUGAUCCAGAUCCAGUCCAGGUCUUUGGGGACCAGGACGGCUGUUCUGCCCUUUAAAACCACCAUCGCUUGAGGAGCUCCACGUUUGUUACCCUUGACCUCAACGUCACUGCGAGAGAGCCAACACAACUGAGACGCGACCUGAAAGACAAUCGGGCUCCAAAAGCAACCCAGCCGAGGCGGGGAUCUGGUAUUCGCACCACGUGGACCCCAGUUUCAGGGUAGUCUGUAGGGUUUUUCGUUCGUCCACAUUUCAGGCAUAUUUUUUUGUUUGUGUGAGGAAUUAUCAGCUAAAAGACCUUAAAAAAACAGCCUGAAUCGAUUCUCGACUGAUUUUUCUCUGUCUUGAAUCUUUGAGCGCAUGUCUGCAGGCUGUGAUUAGGCCAUACUGAUCCCUGAGCUGCGUGCAUGUGUGUGUGUGUGUGUGUGUGUGUGUGCCCUUUUGCCCCCUAUGUU
rnacentral:lncRNA from 1 species